rnacentral:rRNA from 1 species
GUAAGCUAUUUAAGGAUGAAUGCCUUGGGACUAAGAGUCGAAGAAGGACGUGAUAUCCUGCGAUAAGCUUUUGGGAGCAGGAAAUUAGGCUGAGAUCCAGAGAUUUCCGAAUUGUUACCAGUAAUGUGGUAUCUUACGAGCUCAAGGGCGAACCUAGCGAACUUAAACAUCUUAGUAGCUAGAGGAAAAGAAAACAAAGAGUGAUUCCCUUGAAUAGCCCAAACCAGUUAUCUCGCACUGGGUUGAAGGAAUUAUGGUCAUCAUAAGAGUUACCAAAGCGACUCAUAGGAUAAUUGUCUGGGAAGCCAUACUAAAGAAGGUGAGAGUCCUGUAUUCGAAAUGAGUCUCUCUUUCCUAAACACGUGAAAUUUGUUGGGAAGCAGCGGGGACCACCCUGCAAGGUGAAAUACUACUUAGUCACCGAUAGUGACCGUGAGGGAAAGGGUAAAAGAACCUGCAUCUACAAGAAGUGAAAGCCUGUUUGCAGAAUGAGCCUGCGAGUUAUGAUUGUUAAACGGAGCCGCAGCGAAAGCGAGUGGGCGUUAAGUCAGUGAUUUUAGACCCAAACUAGGUGAGCUAACCAUGAGCAGGUUGAAAUUAGGGUAAUACCUAGUGGAGGACCGAACCAGUUUUCGUUGUUGGAUGACUUGUGGUUAGGAGUGAAAAGCUUAUCGAACUCCCCGAAAUAGUUUUAGGACUAGCGCAAGAGUUAAAAUAAGUGGGGAUAGAGCACUGAAUAGAGAAGGGCUCCAAACCGGGUACCACCUCUAAUCAAACUCCGAAUACCCUUUCAGUGUCGCGAGGGAAACCUCGGCGAAGGUCCCUAAGUAGUAUUAGGAAGACGAAAACAGCUAGAAGGUUGGCUUAGAAGAUCCUUUAAAGAGUGCGUAAAAGCUCCAUUUUCAGCGCCGAGAAUGUAAGGGGGCUCAAAUCCUACACCGAAUAGGCUAGCUAGUCAUUUUUGUAGUGAUAGCUAGCGGUAGGGGAGCCUAGUAAUGACAGUGAAGCUAAACUGGGAGGAUCAGUGGAGUUUUGACUAGUGAGAAUGCCGGCGUGAGUAACGAAAGGGGGUGAGAAUCCUCCUGGCCGAAUGACUGAGGUGGUUAGUCGAUGGAUAAUAGGUUAAUCUUCCUGUACUCACCGUAAUUACCGAGGGAGUGACGGAGUCAGCUAAGAUAAGCUUAAUUGGUCUAAGUGUAAAGAGGGUGUGGUUGGCAAAUCCGCCACAGGGUAACCUUGAAGCAUGAUGGAUAGGGCAACCGAAGUAUCUUAAUGCCUUGCUUCCAAGAAAAACUUAUAAGGAUAUAUUUAGGGUACCCGUACCGCGAACGAACAUACGUAGUAUAUGAGAAGAUCCUCAGGCCCGCGAGCAAACUAUAGUUCAGGAACUCGGCAAAUUAGCCCCGUAAGUUCGCAAGAAUGGGUGCCUAGGGCAACCUAGGUCGCAGUGAAGAGGCACGAACGACUGUUUCUCAAAAACACAGCUCUAUGCUAAGGCGCAAGCUAUAGGAGGGGGCGACGCCUGCCCCAGUGCUCCAAGGUUAAGAGGAGGGAUUCACUAAAAAGAAAAAAUUUUGAGUUACGUUCUGAAUUGAAGCCCGAGUGAACGGCGGCCGUAACUAGAACGAUCCAAAGGUAGCGAAAUUCCUUGUCAGGUAAGUUCUGACCCGCAUGAAAGGCGUAACGAUUCCACUAUAGACUCG